rnacentral:rRNA from 1 species
CGCCCUUCAGAGGGGACGAACAGUUGGAAACGACUGCUAAUACCGCAUACGAUCCAAUCUCGGCAUCGAGACUGGAUGAAAGGUGGCCUCUAUUUAUAAGCUAUCACUGAAGGAGGGGAUUGCGUCUGAUUAGCUAGUUGGAGGGGUAACGGCCCACCAAGGCGAUGAUCAGUAGCCGGUCUGAGAGGAUGAACGGCCACAUUGGGACUGAGACACGGCCCAG